AUAUUUUUUUUAUUUAUUUUACGGCCUUGGAUUCGGAUACAAGUCUUUAAAAGGUCUUUAAAAGCCCUGUUGGCCCUGUAAUACAAAAAUAUUACAAUUUUUCUUAAAAAUUUAAGAUGAAGUGAAUCUACAAACACGAAAACGUUGGACAUAGCAGAGACAGUAUUUCCGCUUAAGAAAUAUUUUAGAAUUAAAGUUUAAAUGGAGAUUUUUGAUUUUAAUUUUUUUUUCAUCGAGGUUAAUAAAACACUUACUACUUUUAAAAUAUUUGAAGAAACCAAUUGAGAAAAACUAAAAAGUUUUUUCUUAUGACACCCGGUAUCUAAUUCAGUAUUAAUAUACCUUCCAGUAGACCCUUAGACCGUCUAAGAGUAGACCUGUAGACCUAUGUAUUCUAAGAGUUUGUAUGAGUAAUUUUAGUGUUACCAUAUUUUUUUUAGUGUUGUGUUGUUUAUUAUUGUUACCAUGGUGACACCCAAAGAGUAAAUUAAUUUAGGUGACACCGAAGUAUAAAUGAAUCAAAAAUUUCAAUAUUAUCAAAUAUUUUAGAAUUAAAAUUAUCGUGAGUGUUAUUCAUAUUAAUUUAAUAAGAAAUACAGCUGAAACUCACGUCGGAUAUGCCGGACUAGUUCGUAACUAUAGUUACAUAUUAUGAGUUCUGAACUAGUCUCGCAUACUCCGACUAUUAUUAUCUAAUAGCUACAUUUUCUAGAAUAAGAAAGCAUUAGGAUGCAGUAGGCACUCAGCAUUACGUGCACGCGGCGCCUGGUGCGCCUGGUGCGCCAUGCACCGCUACGUGGUGCUGCAGCAGCUGGGCGACGGCACGUACGGCUCGGUGGCGCUGGCGCAGCGGCGCGACACGGGCGAGAAGGUGGCCAUCAAGCGCAUGAAGCGCAAGUACUACUCGUGGGACGAGGCCAUGAGCCUGCGCGAGGUCAAGUCGCUCAAGAAGCUCAACCACGCCAACAUCGUGAAGCUGCGCGAGGUGAUCCGCGAGAACGACACGCUGUACUUCGUGUUCGAGUACAUGCGCGGCAACCUGUACCAGCUGCUGCGCGCCGCCGAGCGCCCCUUCGCCGAGCCCGUGCUGCGCAACCUGCUGUUCCAGGUGCUGCAGGGGCUGGCGCACAUGCACCGCCACGGCUUCUUCCACCGCGACCUCAAGCCCGAGAACCUGCUGUGCUGCGGGCCCGAGCUGGUGAAGAUCGCCGACCUGGGGCUGGCGCGCGAGGUGCGCUCGCGCGCGCCCUGCACCGCCUACGUGUCCACGCGCUGGUACCGCGCGCCCGAGGUGCUGCUGCGCGCGCCACGCUACGGCGCGCCCGUGGACCUGUGGGCGCUGGGCUGCAUCGCGGCCGAGCUGUACACGGGCCGCGCGCUGUUCCCCGGCGCCUCGGAGCUCGACCAGCUGCACCGCCUGUGCGCCGUGCUGGGCGCGCCCACGCGCGACUCCUGGCCCGAGGGGCUGGCGCUGGCCGCCGCGCUGCGCUUCCGCUUCCCGGCCGGCAGCGGCGUGCCGCUGGCGCGCGUCGUGCCCGGCGCCGGCGGGCCCGCGCGCGCGCUGCUCGCCGCGCUGCUGCGCUGGGCGCCGCACGAGCGCCCCACCGCGCCGCAGGCCCUCAGAUUCCCGUAUUUCGCCGUCGGCGCUGCGCUCGCGCUGCCCCCCCCGGCCCCCCGCCCGAGACGGUCGGUGCAGUUCUACGUGGUAACUGUUGCGAUGUGGGUGCCAACGUGUCCUGUCAAUGUACCUUUGUGCAGAAGCGGCACGCGCGCGGAGCCCGAGAGCAGUCCGGCGGCCGCGCCCGCCGACCGCCGGACGCCGGCGCCGGCGCCGACGCCUGCGCGGGACCGCUUUGCCGACAUCCUGGGGUGCGUAGUGCGCGGGCCGUGGGCGCCGCCCCGCCGCCCCCGCCGCCCGCUGCAGCGUGCGCUCGUGUUGCAGCGGCGAGGUGCGGCAGUCGGCGCGGCGCGCGGGCGGGCGCAGCGUGCAGCCGGCGCCGGGCGCGCCGCGGGCCGCCGCCGCGCCCGGCGCCGCCGCCGCGUACCUGGGCGCCGCGCGCUACGUGGCCGGCGCCCGCAUCGACACCGCACUGUUCCACCCGCUCGCGCUGCACUCGCGCCGAGGUACACGCCCCGACCCGACUCCUUCACUUAAGUGAUUACAUUAUUUGUGAACAGAUUAUUAAGAUUUUUAACCGACUUCAAAAACAGGAGGUUCUCAAUUUGCCUAAGCGAGCGCGGUGGGCAGCGGCGCGCCGCGCGUGGACUGGGCCGCCAAGUAUCUGCGCUGAGGCCGAGCUGGCGCUGCGCUGGGCUGUGGUGACGGGCGGUGACAGACGGUUGUAAAUAAUAUACCUACGUCCUUAUAAAUGGAAAGGGAAAUCAAUAAAUUGCAAAUAUAUUGUUUUGAAUUGA